UCUAGGCCGGCUGUGAGAUCGCCAUGCUUCCCUUCCAUUUCCUGUUGUGUCCACCAUAACUUGACCCUUCACUUAGAAGAGAGGGUUAUAUGCACACCCAGGUGUGGGUUCUGAGACAAACUGGCCAGGGGGGGUCAAAAGAAGAUGACUAGCCAAGAAGAAGACAAAGAUCCUGAGACUACUCCUUACAGAGGAUUCAAGCUUCCCAAAGAUUCGCUGCAGAUUCCGGAAUCCAUCUUCCCACCGCGGGACAGGACUUGUCACAAAUAGCUUGGAUUUAUGGAUGCGCUUCUGCUGCAGAAAUCGUUUCACCUUUUGAGAUGGCAGCUCACCAGGCUCCUCCGUCCCUGGGAUUCUCCAGGCAAGAACACUGGAGUGGGUUGCCAUUUCCUUCUCCAAUGCAUGAAAGUGAAAAGUGAAAGGGAAGUCACUCAGCCGUGUCCAACUCUUUGCGACUCCACGGACUGCAGCCCACCAGGCUUCUCCGUCCAUGGGAUUUUCCAGGUUUUCUAUAAGAACUUCAAUUUCCUGGUUUCCGCUUCUGAGAUCCGCCUUUUAAAAAAGUAAAUCAUUAAUUGAUCUUCCGGUGUUUGGACCAUGCCGAUGGCAGCAUUGUGGAGCAUGUAGGUGAACACUACAAUUUAGAGGCAAUUCAGAAGCAAUACAAUCAACUUAUCUCUUUAAACUCACUCCUACACCCCUGUGUGCUCUCCUACACAUGUUCCAUUUAUUUUGUUAUUUUGGUUAUUAAACUCAAUUCUGG
ensembl:lncRNA